rnacentral:rRNA from 1 species
UACGGGGGGAGCAAGCGUUGUUCGGAUUUACUGGGCGUAAAGGGCGCGUAGGCGGCCACCGCAAGUCGACUGUGAAAUCUCCGGGCUUAACCCGGAAAGGUCAGCCGAUACUGCGGGGCUAGAGUGCAGAAGGGGCAACUGGAAUUCUCGGUGUAGCAGUGAAAUGCGUAGAUAUCGAGAGGAACACCAGUGGCGAAGGCGAGUCUCUGGACACUUCCUGACGCUGAGGCACGAAAGCCAGGGGAGCAAACGGG